GGACCUCCCACCUGAACAGGACGAUUGAACUUUGCUUUGGUAAGGGAUGACUUGCUGGAAGAUGAAAAGCCUUGUGGUGGAACAUGAGUGGAGCUCUUCACAGCUCCCCAGGCAUUGCUGGUGCAGCAUGGGACAGACGGUGUGGUACAGCGAUGACACAAGCGACAUCUUGGAAGAGGCAAAGCUUGAGACAGGUCUUCAAGGAUUGGUACCAUCUGGACAGGUUGAAGAGGAGUAGGAGGGCUUUCAGAUGUGGAGAAUGGCAUGCACAAAAGCAUGGAGCAACACUUUAUGCCAGUUGGAUUACGGUCCAUUGGGAGAAAGAUCAAUUAAGGUGAAACCACAGUAGAGAAAGCACUGGAGAACAACAUUCAUUCUUCCUUAAUAAAUCUUAGUUUUAAAUAUUUGCUUUGAGUUUUGUUACAUUAAUAAAGAAAAUAAAUUAAGAAGGAAAACCAACCAAUAUUUUGUUUUUCCAUAUGCCGUAUUGGAAUCCUGAAGUUGUUGAAUUGAAUUAAUGCUUGAUUCAAUGUGAGGAAUGGACAAAAGACAUGCAGAGAUUCAAGUUCCCUCAGUAAUCUGGUAUUUAUUCAUCAAUCCAUCCAUCCAUCUAUCUAUUCAUCCAUCCAUCCACCCACUCACCCACUCAUCCGGCCAUUCACCCACCCACCUAUCCUCUUACCAUUAGGAAAUUCUUUUAUGUUAAGUGCUAUAAGAGCCAAUUCCUCUUUUUUCAGUAAAUGGAGAAGAACAAUUUGUAUUAUAAGAAUUAGUGUGGGUUAGAUUAUUUAUAUCAUCUUUCCCUGAUGAGGGUUCAUGUCUAGGUGUUUCAGACUAGCAUUUUUCCUUGGGUAAUUUCCACUUUCCCUUUGUAAGCUGAUACUUUUACUACAUGUAAGGUCAUAAACUGUUGUUUUGUAAAAAAUAUUUUGACAUGGAUGAACAAUUUGGAGUGUAGAUAUGAAGACAUAAAAGAUAACUUGAAAAAAUCAGACUAAUUCUAACGUUUAUGUAGAGAGGUAAAUAAUCAAGAAUAAUUAGUAACAUUCUGAAAAAGAAGGGUAGCAAGAAGUGACUAUCCUGUCUAUUAUUAAAUCUUAUAAAAACUCAUUAAGACAGCAUGGUAUUGGCAUAAGAAUAAAAAGACAUCAUUGGAACAGAAUUGAAAGUUUAGAAAUAGACCUAAAUACAUACAAUAGUUUAAUAUAAGGCAAAGUUUACAUCUAAAAUCAGUAAAGAAAGAUUAAUCAGGGAAUGAGGACAACUAAGUCACACAUCACACCCUACAGUAUAAGUUCCAAAUGAAGAAAAUAUUUAAUGUUAAAAAGGAAAUACUGAAAAUACAAACACGUACAAAAAUUAUUUUAUAAUUAUAGAGGACGGAAAGGCCGUAAGUCAUACAAUGAAAGAUUGAUUAAAAAUAAAGUACUGGCACCUGCUGAAGAACACCAACAUCAAAGUUCAAAGAUAAAUGACAAGCCAGGAAAAAUAUUUGCAAUUCUGUCAAAGUGUGAAUUUCUCUACUCUUAAAGGAGGCACACAAACUGAUAAGAAAAAGACCAAUAUCAAAUAGCAGAAAAAGAAAAGAAUAGCCAUGUUUAUACAAAAGGAAAUUUACAAAGAAAGAUCAUUUACAUUGCUUUAAAAAAGAGAAAUGCAAAGCAAAGCAUAACUGAGAUACAAUUUCACCUGUCAAAUUGGCAAAGAUUCAAAAGUUUGGUAAUACCUGGUAUUGGCCACAGUAUUGGCACAAACAGGCUUUCAAAUACAAAUGGUGGAGAUGUAAAUGGCAGAAGUUGGCAAACGAUGGCUUGUAAGCUCAAUUCAGCCUGCUGCUUGCUUUUGUACUGCCCAAGACCUAAGAACCAUUUUUAAGUAGUUGAAAAAAAUCAAAAUAAUAUUGUAUCGUAUCAUAUUGUAUUGUAUUUUACUGUACUGUAUUGUAUUGUAUAUUGAACAUUUGCUAAGAAUAGAUUUUAGGUGCUCUUAUUACACACACACACACACACACACAAGGUAGCUAUGGAAGGUGAUGCAUAGGUUAAUUUGCUUGAACAUGUUAAUCAUUUCACUAUACAUAUGUGUAUGAAAACAAUCAUGUUGUAUACUGUAAGUAUAUAUCAAUAAAAUAAAACAUUUUGUGACACAUG